rnacentral:rRNA from 1 species
GACGAACGCUGGCGGCGUGCUUAACACAUGCAAGUCGAACGGAAAGGCUCUGCUUUUGUGGUGUUCUCGAGUGGCGAACGGGUGAGUAAGACGUGAGUAUCCUCACCCUGCCUUUGGGAUAACUUCAGGAAACUGGGGCUAAUACCGGAUCGGAGCACCCGCUGCCUGGUGGGGGGUGGAAAGAUUCGGCGGAUGGGGAUGGACUCGCGGCUUGUCAGAUUGUCGGUGGGGUAGUGGCUUACCCAGGCUAUGCAGCGAAGCCGGCCCGAGAGGGGGGGCUGCACCACUGGGCCUGAACUGCGGCACAGCCUCCUACGGGACGCAGGGGUGGAGUAUGUUGCACAAGGGGCGGGACCGUGGUGCAGCCACGCCGCGUGGGGUAUGACGGCCUUCGGUUUGUAAACCGCUUUCGCCUGUUCCGAGGCGUUAGUGACGGUAAUGGAUAAAGAAGCCCCGGCUAACUACGUG